UACGUAGGCAGCAAACGUUGUUCGGAAUUACUGGGCGUAAAGAGUGUGUAGGCGGUUGGGUAAGUUUGGUGUGAAAUCUCCCGGCUUAACUGGGAGGGUGCGCCGAAAACUGCCUGGCUUGAGUACUGGAGAGGAUAGCGGAAUUCCUGGUGUAGCGGUGAAAUGCGUAGAUAUCAGGAGGAACACCUGCGGUGUAGACGGCUGUCUGGACAGUAACUGACGCUGAGACACGAAAGCGUGGGGAGCAAACGGG
rnacentral:rRNA from 1 species